rnacentral:tRNA from 1 species
GUGGGUAUAGCUUGGUGGUAGAGCUCAUGCUUAGCAUGCACCAGGUCCUGAGUUCAAUCCCAGUACCUCCA